GUACGUAGGUGACAAGCGUUGUCCGGAUUUAACUGGGCGUAAAGAGCGCGCAGGCGGUCGAUCAAGAUCCGAGUGGUGAAACCCCCCGGCUCAACUGGGGAGGGUCAUUCGAUACUGAUCGACUCGAAGGCAGGAGAGGGUAGUGGAAUUCCCGGUGUAGUGGUGAAAUGCGUAGAUAUCGGGAGGAACACCAGUGGCGAAGGCGACUACCUGGCCUGUUCUUGACGCUGAGGCGCGAAAGCUAAGGGGAGCAAAGCGGGG
rnacentral:rRNA from 1 species